rnacentral:rRNA from 1 species
UACGUAGGGUGCAAGCGUUAAUCGGAAUUACUGGGCGUAAAGCGUGCGCAGGCGGUUGUGUAAGACAGAUGUGAAAUCCCCCGGGCUCAACCUGGGAACUGCAUUUGUGACUGCACAGCUUGAGUGCGGCAGAGGGGGAUGGAAUUCCGCGUGUAGCAGUGAAAUGCGUAGAUAUGCGGAGGAACACCGAUGGCGAAGGCAAUCCCCUGGGCCUGCACUGACGCUCAUGCACGAAAGCGUGGGGAGCAAACAGG